GCCGCCUACCUACUCGUGCUCGUAGCUCGAUCGGAGGUGAAGACUUUUGUCCGGCGGAAAAAGAGAAGUCGUCCGUCUCAAGUGAUACGUUAAUUGCUCAGUAGUGCUUCGCCACUACCGUAGCUGGCGGAAAUAGCUUAAUGGUAGAGCAUAGCCUUGCCAAGGCUGAGGUUGAGGGUUCAAGUCCCUCCUUCCGCUCUUGGCUUCGUCGUUUAGUGGUAACGAGUAGAGUAGGCAUCGCCUCUCG